CUUAACCCUCUAGCCGCUGGGCACGCGCGGGCUGCCGGGGCGGAGGCGUACGGGGGCGGCGAGCGGGACUCGGCUCCUCCUCGUCCCGCGCCAGCGCCGCGCCCGGCCGCAUUCUUGGGGCCCGAGGCUCAGCAGCUCGCGGCGGAGAAAGCAGGCCGCGGAGGAGGCGGGCGCCCAGGCCUGCCCGGACAGGAAGUGGGCCCAGCUUUCCCACUCCUCGCUCCGCUCCUUCCUCCGCGGGAAGGGCAGGCCCCGGAGGCAGCGAGCGCCCCGGGGGUGGCCGGGCAGCCGGAUGCUCCCGGGGUUGCGGGCUGUGGCCCCGGGGGCUGAGGGCGGCGCGGGUGCGGCGGAAGCAGGGAAGCCGCGAACCGGCCUUCUGGCUGGCCACAGCGCCCUGCACGGACGAUCAGUGAAUGGAGAUUGCUCAAGUAUUUAUCGAGAACUUGCAGUGGGCUAGGCACGGUUCAGGUCCACAGUUAUUUCACUUCUAAAUAAAUAUGAUUUUUUAAAAGUGGCACGCGGUGGAAUGUAAUUGAGACAGGAUGGAGUUCCUAGAGAAAUUUUACUUCCUCGAUCUGCACUCCACCUUAUUUAAAAUACAGUCUUGGGUCUGUAAUUCCCUUAUCUGACUCUCAAGGAAAUGAAAAAGUAAUGCCUAGAUUGGACUAAACCUCAUUUAACUUCAAGACUGACCUUUCUCAAAGUUGAACCUUCGUCUUGUGAGGAACAGAAAGAUCAAGAACUCUGAAGCACCUCGACUUUCCACCUGUGAAGAUGUGUUCAAAUUUGCAACGUGCGGCCACACCUAUGAGGUUGAACUUAAUACAAUUGGUUUCUUUAUAGGUUUAGAUGGUUGAAUUUAAGUUACCCCCACUGCUAUUAUUAUUAUUAUUAUUAUUAUUAUUAUUAUUAUUUUGAGACAGAGUCUUAACUCUGUUGCCCAGGCAGGAGUGCAGUGGCGAGAUCUUGACUCACUGCAACCUCUGCCUCCUGGCUUCAAGCAAUUCUCAUGCUUCAGCCUGUAGCUGGAACUACAGGUAUGUGCCACCACACCCGGCUAAUUUUCGUAUUUUUUAGUAGAGGUGGGGGUUUCACCAUGUUGACCAGGCUGGUCUCGAACUCCUGACCGCAAGCGAUCCGCCAUUUUUUGAGAUGGAUUCUCUGUUGCCCAAGCUGGAGUGCCGUGACGCCAUCUCGGCUCACUGGAACCUCCUCCUUCCAGGUUCAAGCAAUUCUCCUGCCUCAGCCUCCUGAGUAGCUGAGAUUACAGGUGCCCUCCACCACCCCCUGCUAAUUUUUGUAUUUUUAGUAGAGAUGGGGUUUCACCAUGUUGGCCAGGCUAGUGUCAAACUCCUGAUCUUCAGUGAUCCGCCCGUCUUGGCCUCCCAAAGUGCUGAGAUUACAGGCCACUGCACCCAGCCUUUUGCUACACAUUUAUACUAAACUAUAUUAUGGGGCAGCACAGUAGGUUUGUUUACACCAGCAUCGCCAGAAACACGUGGUUAAUGCAUUGCGCUACAAUGUUACAGUGUCUAUGACAUCACUAUGUGAUAGGAAAUUUUCAGCUCCAUUACGAUCUUAUGAAACAACUGUUUUAUAUGUUGUUUGACCUGAAUAUCAUUACGUGGCAUAUGGGUAUAUGUCCUCCAGUUUUUCAACAUUCCUUCCUUCAAAAAGAGGCAAUUCGUUCCCCUCCCCUUGAGUGUGGGCUGGACUUAGUGGCUCACUCCUAAUAAAUAGAAUGUAGCAUAAGUGAUGGUAUGUGACUUCCAAGACUAGGCCAGAAGAGGCAUUUGAGGGUUUCCGCUUUCUUUCUCUCGGGUCACUCCCUCUGGAGGAAACCAGCUGCCACUUUGUGAGGAUACUCAUGGCCCUGUGGAGGCAUAUCCUCCAUAUGGCUGAGACCUCCUGCCAACAACCAUCACUGACUUGCCAGACAUGAGUGUGCCACCUUGGAAGCAGAUUUUCCAGCCCCAGUCAAGCCUUCAGAUGACAUCAGCCCCUGCUAAUCUCUUGACUACAACCCCAUGAGAGACCCUGAGCCAGAACUAGGCAGGCUUACCCCUCAUGGUUACAAAGUGGCUGCAACAGCUCCGGGUGUUCUAUCCUUUAACACAGAAUAACUCAAACAACAAGACCCAACAUUCAGACAAGAAGGAAAGGGACUUUUGGAGAGUGAAGAAAACUUUCCUAGAAACCUCAGACUUCUCCCCAUGCCUUAUUGGCCAGAUUGUAUCCUAUGCCCAUUUCUAAACCAAUCAUUGGCAAAGUGAGUGGAAUUGACGUGAUUAGAUUAACUUUACCAAGAAUGCAUCCUCAGAGAGGCUGAGAAAAAGUCCAGCCUCCUUUGAAGAGCCUGGCUACCUUUCACCUGAACAAAACAAGAAUUCUGAUGAAAAAUGGAGAAUGUAUGUGGAGCAGGCACCCGGAGUGUCUAUGCCAGGAUUUUUUUUCAGUGCGUUUCACCGGUUAUAUUUUUGUCUCUUUACCUUACAAGAUAUGUGGCACGUUUGCCUAAAACAAGCCUUGCUUUCUGAUUUCUGUGCACUAGGCACUUAAACCUUGCAAAUGUCGCUUACCUAACAGUCACUGUCAAGGAGUACCUGGCUAAAGAAUCUCCAGCUAGACAAAGUAAAAGUGUCUGUGCUCUGGCAGUUGAAUAUAUUGUAUCAGGCUCAACAGCACCUUUCACCGAAGGAUGAGACUUCACAACCAUUAGAUCUUCUUUUAUUUUGUUUUUAUUAAAAAAAAAAUUUAACACACUAUUGCUAACUUGAAGCCAUUAGAUCUUCUUACCCCCAAUACCACAAAAGUUUAGUGGAAUCAGGGGUAUAUCAAGGCAGGUGGAGUAGGGGAGCUGGGAGUGGUCAGCCCCCAGGGCAGGCAAUGAGGGAUUGUGAAUCUGUGAAGAAUUUUAAAGCAAUGAUACAGCUCUAAAUGCGAUGUACUAUCCUGGACUUAGCCCUGGAAAAGAAAAAAGAUAUUAGUGGAAAAACUGGUAAAAUUCAAAUAAUGUCUGUAGUUUGGUUAAUAGUAUUAUACCAGUGUUAAUUUCUGUGUUUUGAUAAAUGUACCAUGGUUACGUAAGCUGGAUGAAAGAUAUGUGGGAAAUCUCUCUACUAUUUCUGCAACUCUCCUGUAAACCUAAAAAUAUUUCAAAAUAAAAGAUUUAAUGCU